GACUAAUGUCACGUUUGGUUUGUUGACAGUCUCCCACUCGGAGGGUCUCAGGCUACAUCUCUUCUCACACUCUCGUCCACGAUGAAGCCAGACUGUUAUUUUGUUUUUACUUUCCUGUUCAGUCUCUCCUUCCUUUCUCCCGUCUGUCCCAUAAACUGCAAUAAAACACAAUAUGCCUGGCCAAUGGACGGACCCCAGCUGUGCUGUGACAAGUGCCCUCCAGGGAAACAUAUGGUGCGGCGUCCAGAUCGCACUUGUGGAAUUGAGUGUCAGUCCUGCACUGGUCGCCGGUACACGGAUGCUCCCAACGAGGAGCUGGGCUGCGAAUUUUGCGAAAACUGCGAUAAACCACACAUGGAGUAUCACUCGGAAUGUAGCAGCACUCGUAACGCUGUUUGCAGAUGUGAAGCUGGCUACAGAUGCCAAGACGAUCCCUGCAAACAGUGUGUGCCGAUACCAUCCACCACUACCACCAAACCCACACUCCCUCCAUCCACUACAGGAGCCAUCCCCACUCUCCGGACAACUUCUCAACCAAUCAAAGAGACGGCGUGGUUCGUAGUAAUAAUCGCCCUCCUGUGUGCAGGGAUCACGCUUGCUGCUGUUGCAAAAAUCAAGCCCUUUAUGCUGUGGAUCAAAUCCAAACACGGCUACAUGUUGGCUAAAGAUCCCCAACCAGCAUCACCAUGCUCCGAGGAUGAGCAAGUAUCAACCCCCAUUCAGGAAGUUCUUGGGAAAUGUGAAGUAUGAGUUGAAGAGCCUGAACUUGAUGAGCACAUUAUUAUUAUAUGGGCAACGUGGCGACGGGGUAGAAAGGGUGCGCCGGGAACCACAAGGUUGGUGGUGUGAGUCCCUGAGCAAGACACCUAACUGCUAAUGUAAUGCAAGUUGCUUUGGAUAAAAGCGUCAGCUACAUGAUGUAAUGAGCAGGGAUUUGACAUUUAGUGCAAAACAUUUCUGUUGCUUUUGGACACUGAUGACAAAUGGGGGCAAACAGACACUGCAGUGAUUGUACAUACGCUUUAGGUUGUGCAGUAUGUUGUCCAAAGGCAGGUAUGUACUAUUGUACAUGACAGAUAUUUCACAUCUUCGUUUAGGUGUUUUUGUGUAUAUACACUUUUCAGAUAAUACAUCAAAUGUAAAUGUUUUUAACAUGAAUUUCUACUUUCUUUAUUGUGGAUAUAAUAGUUGUAAAGUGCCUCAUAUAUACAGAACAUUAAACAUUCAACUCUAAUACUUGAAAGCAAGAAAUUUAUUAAAGAGUAUUUAUCUGAUGUCCUAUUAACUUACAAGGCAGAUCACCCUCCAGCUUUUCUUCCCACAGUUCAUGUUUUUUGUUGGUACUGACUGCAUGUUUUCUUGGAACCUGGAGAUAAAAAUGUCUCUGCAGAGCACUGAGAUUUCUUCACAUUUUGCAAAAGGCGUGAUGGAUCGGCUCCACACUCAUACGUGGUUUCACAUCCUUUAAGACAACGUGUCUGUGAUGAGCCUGGACGUAACCACCAACUGCAAUCUUCUAGGGUUUUCAGGAUGAAUCAUAGCUCUUCCUCUUUGGACAUGUGGCAGUCCUUCCCCUGCUCCUGGGAGGGAAAGAACACGCUCUCAGUCUCUCCCCUCCACUCCUCUUUAGAGAGAUGGGGACUCGGAGAAGAAGUGGGAUGGAACACAGGACAGUAUCUCUCUUCUUCUUCUUCUUCUUCUUCUUCCUCACUAUUCACUCUUUCGGAUUUCUUCACGCAUUCAGUGGUCGGUCCAGCUUGGCCUGUAAACUGACUCAGCAAGCUAAAGAUGACUGUCCCUGGAUUGUGGACAUGGACCGGACCUACGGAGAUUAGAACAAACAAAGAAUGCACUUAAAGGGAUGUUUUAAUUGACCCAUGGAGGUACAUUGAAAUAUAGUUCACACAGUCAAACAACUAAAAACAACUCUGAAUAAUUACAGUAACCCAGCUGCAUCUUUUACAUGUUUACGUUUUAUUUUCAUCAUGACUCCACAGAGUGAGUCAAGCAUUUCACAUGAAAGUCUUUGUUUCAGUCUUCAGUACCCAGAUUGGCUGUGGAAAGGAAGGAUGGCUGCUGCUUUGCACUGAAUGAGUCUCUGGGGAUGUGAUGAGUCGAGUCGUUUGACUUGUGAGAAGCAUCUGCUCCUCCCUAAAGAACAUGUCCGUUAGUUUGGUGCAAAAAAAAA
ensembl:lncRNA